rnacentral:rRNA from 1 species
AUUGAACGCUGGCGGCAUGCUUUACACAUGCAAGUCGAACGGUAACAGGCCUUCGGGUGCUGACGAGUGGCGAACGGGUGAGUAAUGCAUCGGAACGUACAGAGGUGGGGGAUAACGCAGCGAAAGCUGUGCUAAUACCGCAUGUGAUCUGAGGAUGAAAGCGGGGGACCGAGCAGCAAUGUUUGGCCUCGCGCCUUUGGAGCGGCCGAUGUCGGAUUAGCUAGUUGGUGGGGUAAAGGCCUACCAAGGCGACGAUCCGUAGCUGGUCUGAGAGGACGACCAGCCACACUGGGACUGAGACACGGCCCAGACUCCUACGGGAGGCAGCAGUGGGGAAUUUUGGACAAUGGGCGCAAGCCUGAUCCAGCAAUGCCGCGUGCGGGAAGAAGGCCUUCGGGUUGUAAACCGCUUUUGGCAGGAACGAAACGGUGUCCGCUAAUACCGGGCGCUAAUGACGGUACCUGCAGAAUAAGCACCGGCUAACUACGUG